AUGGAAAACCAGGGAUUCAGUAAUCCUCAGAUCUCUGGAAAACAAGGGAAUCAGCAAUCCUCAGAUCUCUGGAAAACCAGGGAAUCAGCAAUCCUCAGAUUUAUGGAAAAACAGGGAUUCAGUAAUCCUCAGAUCUCUGGAAAACAAGGGAAUCAGCAAUCCUCAGAUCUCUGGAAAACCAGGGAAUCAGCAAUCCUCAGAUUUAUGGAAAAACAGGGAAUCAGCGAUCCUCAGAUUUAUGGAAAAACAGGGAAUCAGCAAUCCUCAGAUCUCUGGAAAACCAGGGAAUCAGCAAUCCUCAGAUCUCUGGAAAACCAGGGAAUCAGCGAUCCUCAGAUUUAUGGAAAAACAGGGAAUCAGCGAUCCUCAGAUUUAUGGAAAACCAGGAAACAGCAAUCCUCAGAUCUCUGGAAAACCAGGGAAUCAGCAAUUCUCAGAUUUCUGGAAAACCAGGGAAUCAGCAAUCCUCAGAUUUAUGGAAAAACAGGGAAUCAGCGAUCCUCAGAUUUAUGGAAAAACAGGGAAUCAGCAAUCCUCAGAUCUCUGGAAAACCAGGGAAUCAGCAAUCCUCAGAUCUCUGGAAAACCAGGGAAUCAGCGAUCCUCAGAUUUAUGGAAAAACAGGGAAUCAGCGAUCCUCAGAUCUCUGGAAAACCAGGGAAUCAGCAAUUCUCAGAUUUCUGGAAAACCAGGGAAUCAGCAAUCCUCAGAUUUCUGGAAAACCAGGGAAUCAGCGAUCCUCAGAUUUAUGGAAAAACAGGGAAUCAGCGAUCCUCAGAUUUAUGGAAAACCAGGGAAUCAGCAAUCCUCAGAUCUCUGGAAAACCAGGGAAUCAGCAAUUCUCAGAUUUCUGGAAAACCAGGGAAUCAGCAAUCCUCAGAUUUCUGGAAAACCAGGGAAUCAGCGAUCCUCAGAUUUAUGGAAAAACAGGGAAUCAGCGAUCCUCAGAUUUAUGGAAAACCAGGGAAUCAGCAAUCCUCAGAUCUCUGGAAAACCAGGGAAUCAGCAAUCCUCAGAUUUCUGGAAAACCAGGGAAUCAGCGAUCCUCAGAUUUCUGGAAAACCAGGGAAUCAGCAAUCCUCAGAUUUAUGGAAAACCAGGGAAUCAGCAAUCCUCAGAUUUAUGGAAAACCAGGGAAUCAGCAAUCCUCAGAUUUAUGGAAAACCAGGGAAUCAGCAAUCCUCAGAUUUAUGGAAAACCAGGGAAUCAGCAAUCCUCAGAUUUAUGGAAAACCAGGGAAUCAGCAAUCCUCAGAUUUCUGGAAAACCAGGGAAUCAGCGAUCCUCAGAUUUAUGGAAAACCAGGGAAUCAGCGAUCCUCAGAUUUCUGGAAAACCAGGGAAUCAGCAAUCCUCAGAUCUCUGGAAAAACAGGGAAUCAGCCAUCCUCAGAUUUAUGGAAAACCAGGGAAUCAGCGAUCCUCAGAUUUCUGGAAAACCAGGGAAUCAGCAAUCCUCAGAUCUCUGGAAAAACAGGGAAUCAGCCAUCCUCAGAUUUAUGGAAAACCAGGGAAUCAGCGAUCCUCAGAUUUCUGGAAAACCAGGGAAUCAGCGAUCCUCAGAUUUCUGGAAAACCAGGGAAUCAGCGAUCCUCAGAUUUAUGGAAAACCAGGGAAUCAGCGAUCCUCAGAUUUCUGGAAAAACAGGGAAUCAGCGAUCCUCAGAUUUAUGGAAAACCAGGGAAUCAGCGAUCCUCAGAUUUAUGGAAAACCAGGGAAUCAGCGAUCCUCAGAUCUCUGGAAAACCAGGGAAUCAGCGAUCCUCAGAUUUAUGGAAAACCAGGGAAUCAGCGAUCCUCAGAUUUCUGGAAAACCAGGGAAUCAGCAAUCCUCAGAUUUAUGGAAAACCAGGGAAUCAGCGAUCCUCAGAUCUCUGGAAAACCAGGGAAUCAGCAAUCCUCAGAUCUCUGGAAAACCAGGGAAUCAGCAAUCCUCAGAUUUCUGGAAAACCAGGGAAUCAGCAAUCCUCAGAUUUAUGGAAAACCAGGGAAUCAGCGAUCCUCAGAUUUAUGGAAAACCAGGGAAUCAGCGAUCCUCAGAUUUAUGGAAAACCAGGGAAUCAGCGAUCCUCAGAUUUAUGGAAAACCAGGGAAUCAGCGAUCCUCAGAUUUAUGGAAAACCAGGGAAUCAGCGAUCCUCAGAUUUAUGGAAAACCAGGGAAUCAGCGAUCCUCAGAUCUCUGGAAAACCAGGGAAUUCUUUUAAAAGUUACUGGAAUUCUGCAACCCUGCUCUGUUUGGAAAUUAAGGUAA
ensembl:lncRNA